UACGAAGGGGGCUAGCGUUGUUCGGAAUUACUGGGCGUAAAGGGCGCGUAGGCGGCGUGUCAAGUCAGGCGUGAAAGCCCCGGGCUCAACCUGGGAACCGCGCUUGAGACUGGCAUGCUCGAGUUCGGGAGAGGAUGGUGGAAUUCCCAGUGUAGAGGUGAAAUUCGCAGAUAUUGGGAGGAACACCAGUGGCGAAGGCGGCUCGCUGGACCGGUUCUGACGCUGAGGCGCGAAAGCGUGGGGAGCAAACGGG
rnacentral:rRNA from 1 species